CAAAAUAGAGCUUGGUUAGUUGAGCAUUUCACUUACGUUGAAAAGGAUAUCGUGCAAUUCGAUUUAUUUUGA
rnacentral:tRNA from 1 species